GACGAACGCUGGCGGCGUGCUUAACACAUGCAAGUCGAACGGAAAGGCCCUGCUUUUGUGGGGUGCUCGAGUGGCGAACGGGUGAGUAACACGUGAGUAACCUGCCCUUGACUUUGGGAUAACUUCAGGAAACUGGGGCUAAUACCGGAUAGGAGCUCCUGCUGCAUGGUGGGGGUUGGAAAGUUUCGGCGGUUGGGGAUGGACUCGCGGCUUAUCAGCUUGUUGGUGGGGUAGUGGCUUACCAAGGCUUUGACGGGUAGCCGGCCUGAGAGGGUGGCCGGCCACAUUGGGACUGAGAUACGGCCCAGACUCCUGCGGGAGGCAGCAGUGGGGAAUAUUGCACAAUGGGCGGAAGCCUGAUGCAGCAACGCCGCGUGCGGGAUGACGGCCUUCGGGUUGGAAACCGCUUUCGCCUGUGACGAAGCGUGAGUGACGGUAAUGGGUAAAGAAGCACCGGCUAACUACGUGC
rnacentral:rRNA from 1 species